UGCGGUCGAUGGAGGUGAGUGCAGCCGGCGGCCGGAGCGGGGCCUGCGGGCCAUCCGCCGCCAUCCGCCCCUGUCGCCCUCCCGUUUCUGGCCAUCCGUCCCUAAGCAGCGUGGCCUACCUUCUAACAUCCAUCCGUUUUAGGCGCAGCCAGUAAGGAGAAUGUUGCAGCAGGUGUCCUUGCUCCAUUCCUGUUUUCCAGAGGUUCUGUACCCAGAUGUGGCCUCUGUGCUCCGAUUCUUACAAGGGUGCCUUGUCUGCAAGAGCUUGUGAUGAAGCUGGAAAUACCAAUCCUGUUUGAUAUGCAGGACAGUUGCCUUGAUGGUAAUUAAACUGAUGCAUUCCUGACAUUGGAGAUUGGGAUGCCCAGGAGUCCGGAAGCUGCAGUGGACUUCCCAUGGAUGUGGUGUGACUAAUGCCUGGGUCUUCGGGUCGAUCGGGGAGAGAUGGAUGGCCAAUGAAAGGACUUGAUCUGCAAAGCUGAUAAUGCAGCACAACUCCUGUGCCAGGGAUUUGUUCGCUGGGAUGGCAAAUUGGAGAAGGAUCCUUGGCCAUGAGUGAUGGGGCUUGGAGUUCCUCCCUGAAAAACCGGGUGCUGUGACAGGCACAAAUUUCAAUUCACCAUCCUUGCCCACCGUCUGGACUACCCUGAUUCUGCAGAUUGUUCCUGCAGUGGAGUGUAUUUGGCUUUUGUGAAGGUGCAGUUUAAACUGAAAUAAACUGACCUGAUUUUCAAAACAUUGGGUGCUGUAUUGU